rnacentral:rRNA from 1 species
AGAGUUUGAUCAUGGCUCAGAGCGAACGCUGGCGGCGUGCUUAACACAUGCAAGUCGAACGCGCAGUCCUUCCGCCGCAAGGCGUAGGGGCUGGCGCGUGGCGAACGGGUGCGUAACACGUGGAUAACCUUCCUUCUGGUGGGGAAUAACCCAGUGAAAAUUGGGCUAAUACCGCAUAACAUUACGAGGGCACAUGCUCUUGUAUUCAAAGCCGCAAGGCGCCGGCAGAGGGAUCCGCGGCCGAUUAGCUUGUUGGCGAGGUAACGGCUCACCAAGGCGAUGAUCGGUAGCCGGACUGAGAGGUUGGCCGGCCACACUGGAACUGAGACACGGUCCAGACUCCUACGGGAGGCAGCAGUGGGGAAUCUUGCGCAAUGGACGAAAGUCUGACGCAGCAACGCCGCGUGGGGGAUGAAGCUUCUCGGAGUGUAAACCCCUUUCGACCCGGACGAAUGCCCGCAAGGGUUUGACGGUACGGGUAUAAGAAGCCCCGGCUAACUACGUGCCAGCAGCCGCGGUAAAACGUAGGGGGCCAGCGUUGCUCGGAAUUACUGGGCGUAAAGGGUCCGUAGGCGGUGUGACAAGUCGGUAGUGAAAUCUCCGGGCUUAACUCGGAGGCUGCUGCCGAAACUGUUGUGCUAGAGUGUGAGAGAGGCGAGUGGAAUUACGGGUGUAGCGGUGAAAUGCGUAGAUAUCCGUAGGAACAUCCGAGGCGAAAGCGGCUCGCUAGAUCACAACUGACGCUGAGGGACGAAAGCCAGGGGAGCAAACAGGAUUAGAUACCCCCGUAGUCC